rnacentral:lncRNA from 1 species
CUUGGUUUCCAUGGCAACCUGCCCACCCAGAUCCCUGCAGCUGCAGCACCUGUGGGCCCCUGAGGUGGGGGCUGUGGGUGCCCUACUGGGCCCUGGGGCCGCAGUAGGCAGGAAGGAGUGCAGGCCUGAGGCAGGCUGCUCACUCGGAUUCAGAGCUUCGCCUGACACGGUUCCUAUGGGGACGGCUGUGGGCACAUGCUGCCUGUGAUCAGAUACCCGAAUUAAAACUGCUCUGUAAUUCUGGUAGCUCCUCUUUGGCUCAGGGCCUUUGGAAGAAAGACUGAGUUUUGGGUGCACUAGCCUCUCAAACCUUCCCCACCCCAACCAAAGGUAGAUUUGAGAACUUGGGACUAUGGGGCUUUCUAUUUCACGAAUGGAGCAUUCUCUCUGUGCCAGAGCCUACAGACACCAAGAUGACUGAAGUGCAGUCAACAUCCUUAGGGAGAGGCGAGAAAGACAGGCCAUAGAGCUGAAAAUUCCAACACAGUAUGGCCUGGCAACAGUGGAACUCAGGGUAAGAAACAGAGGAGGGAUCCUUCAGCUCUGGGAAAGUUCCAGAAUAAGAGGAAGCUUCGCUCCACGCAGAGGAAGGGGCUUCUGCAAACACUGGAUGAAAGAACAUCCUCUGUGAAGUCAGAGAGUAUGAGUGUUUUGGCCUUAGGGACUCAGUGUGUGAUAUGUGGCAUCACUCAGCCCUGGAAGGCAGGAAAGAGCUACUGAGCAUAUUUCUUAACCGUCUGCAAAGUAGCAGGGCCAAAAGAGAUCCAGAGUGUCUCCACAGGGACAUGGAGGGAAAAAAACUCAAUUCGGAGCUCUGGCAUGCGUCUUGGGGAAGCAGCUUUCUCACCUCCCAGCCUAAGCAUUCUCCCACCGAGCUUGGAAUGGUAAUGGGUGUCCACAAAGGGAAUGCUGGCAGACCACAGAGUGAAGGGAGAAGAUCCAGAGACUACGUCAGAAGCACUAAACCUACUAUGCUCUGGGGAGAGUCUAUGAACCAUUAGGAAAGGCACUUAGUGCAUUUCUCUGAGACACGGGAGCUGUGCAUCCUGACCUGGGCAUGCUGCAGCACAGGCAGAGAGGGCAGGGCAUCUGGAUGUGGUGCUGGGUUCCUUCAUCAGCAAUGACCUUCUGCAGUAAGCUGUUCUGGGCUAUGGAGGAAGGGUGAGGCCACAAAGGAUGGUGAGAGCCAGGGAGAAUCACACUAAUGGUAAGAAUGAUGCCAGCUGACACUGGUUCUUGCCAUGGGUAAAGAGCCUUACAGGAUCAUCUUAUUAAUUCCCAG